UUGAACGCUGGCGGCAUGCUUUACACAUGCAAGUCGAGCGGCAGCGCGGGGGCAACCCUGGCGGCGAGCGGCGAACGGGUGAGGAAUACAUCGGAACGUACCCAGUUGUGGGGGAUAGCCCGGCGAAAGCCGGAUUAAUACCGCAUAAGUCCUGAGGGAGAAAGCGGGGGACCGUAAGGCCUCGCGCGGUUGGAGCGGCCGAUGUUCGCUUAGCUAGGUGGUGGGGUAAAGGCCUACCAAGGCGACGAUCCGUAGCUGGUCUGAGAGGAUGAUCAGCCACACUGGGACUGAGACACGGCCCAGACUCCUACGGGAGGCAGCAGUGGGGAAUUUUGGACAAUGGGCGCAAGCCUGAUCCAGCCAUGCCGCGUGAGUGAAGAAGGCCUUCGGGUUGUAAAGCUCUUUCAGCAGGAACGAAACGGUGGCCAAUAAUACUGGCUACUAAUGACGGUACCUGAAGAAGAAGCACCGGCUAACUACGU
rnacentral:rRNA from 1 species